rnacentral:lncRNA from 1 species
UACAUUUAUUUUUAUCUUUAUUUUUAUUUUGCAUUGAGACUAAAGUUUGAAUGGUUUGUAUUUUCAGGAUCACUUUCCUAACCUUUACAGGAUGCAGGGUUUUGAUGACAUGCAUAUCGCCUAUAGAGACAAUGCUCAGAGGGAGCGCUACAUUGCUUUAUAUCAGCGCCCUAUGGCACCCACACGUUACCCUGAUCAGCAUUGUAUGGAGGCACUGGGUAUCGAGCCUAGUAUCUG